UUAACCAUAUUUUUUAAAUUAUUCAUUAAAGAUAGAUUGCUUUAUUUUCAGCUGAUUUAACUCUAUGGUUAUGCUGGUGUUUGUUCAUUAUUACAUUAGUAUCAUAUCAGUUUUCCUUUAUUUGGCUGUUUGGAUAUACAGUACAAACAGCUGUAGCUGGCAGUGCAGUAGGUGCCUGGAGACAUGUCUCCUCCUGAUGAUGUAUUUUUUUGUUCGACAUUACAAUAAUUCUGUCGAAGACUGCUACUCUACCCUCAGUACUCGGUGUUCCACUCUGCUGCGUUUCAGACAGCUGUGCGCCUUUUCCUCCUCUGUUUUUUUUUUUUUUUUUACAGCUUUCCCGUCUGCCUCCUUCCUUAUCCUCCAUAUUGAAAAGGUUUGCUCACCCCUCCCCCCACACUUGGCCUCCUUUUUUUUCUUUUUCAUAUUUAUCCCCUUCAAUUUCUCUUUCUUAUACCAACAUUUCCCGUCUGUAUCACUCCCUCUCUUCUAUUCUGUUAACUGUUGCCUUUUUUUAGUCGACUAUCUAUUAUUUACCUACAAAAUCUAACACCGUGCUUCCCUGUGCCCUGGGGCUGGGACUGUGGAUGUGGAUGAGGCAUGCGCUGUUCUGUGUCAGUAGGGCACUCUCUCUCUCUCUCUCUCUCUCUCACCCUCUGUCACUGAUCUAGCUUUGUCGGAAAUGGAAGCACUGAUACUGAGGCUAACAACAUGAUGCUUUUCUAUCUGUCUGUCUAUCUAUCUGUUAGGAUAUUGGUAAAAAUAUUAUUAAUAAUAAUAUUAUUAAUUAUCUUCACUCUUUUUCGACUGCUAGUGUGUAACCCUAUCCCACCCCCAAACCCUAUUUUCAAACUUUCUUUAAUGUUUUUUAUUUCAUAAAUCCUCAGUUGUCUCAGGGAUAAAUAGACGCCAACAACUCUCCACAUCCCCAGUUUCAUAACAUCCCAGUGGAGGAGUCUGUGAGUUUGUCUGAAUGAAUUGCACAGAUAAAGCCCUCAUGCACUGAUAACCACUGUGUCACUUUGAAUUAUUUCUGACUGCGAGGGGUUUAUCUCAGGGUGCUGCGUCAUGCUGAUGUGAUCCCUUGAUUCAUGCGACUGAAAUGACUGUGUAUUCAUUCACCUGUCGUAGUAGAAGUCUUGCAGAAAGUCUCGUGUAAUGACGAAGUGACCUGAAGUAACGUAAGCAGCGUCUGUCAGGACGGACGUGUUUUUUCUGAAUCAACAGGGAUGAGAACAGAUGUGGCUCUGAACUGUGUCUGUUUAGCAUCAGUGCUCAUAUAGACACAACAUCUGCUUCUGUGUUUAGAUCAACUCUGUGUGGACCUGCAGGAUUAGACUGACUGAGGGGUCAACACAAGGCUGUGUGUGAGCCGGUCGACCACCAUGUUAACAGAGGAAAAAAAAAAAGAUCAACUAAGAAUGAGAACCCACCAAAGUCACUGUUGAGUAUUUGAGGCAAAGUGUUGUGAGUCUUAGAUUUUAAAACAUAAAUCAACUGUAAAUCAACAACUUCCUCCGUCUGUUUACCCACAGGAUGCAGCCUCAGUAAGAGGAUUGACUUCUUACACACACUGCUGUGCUGAGAGGGUGGACAGUGAGACACACACUGACGUACCCUUUGUUUGUCUGGAACUGCAUAUGGUGUUUGUUUCUGAGCAGGAGUUGAUGCAAUCAAAUGUGUACUGCAGUAGUAAAUUGUUUAUUUUGUAGUUUUCCUGGUCUCUCUGUAGCUACUGUGUGUACUUUACUUAACUGAUGGGUCGUUCACUUCAACUUGUUUAUGGUACAGCAAGUGUGUUCUUAUUGAUCUGGCCAUAUACAGUCAUGUGCAAUGCAUUUACCAUUAGAUAAGCUGUAAACUCAGACCUUAUAUUUAAUGAUUUAAUUCACCUUAACAAAAAAAUACAAUUCAUUAGUUCAGCAUCAUUUGCACUGGAUAUUUUUUGUACCUGUAUAUGCUGAAAGUAAUAUUUUCCAAGUGUGUACUCCAUUCUGACUGUAGGUUUUGUUUCUCUAUGUAAUAAGUUUAAACUGUUAUUUUGCUCUUUCUCGAAGGUUUAGUAUUAAUAUUGCAGUUUUACUGUACACAGAGCAAAUGUACUUAUAGUAUUACCUGUGUAUGGUAUCCUUUUCCCCAGACAUAGUCACUUUAGUAUAAGCAUUUUGUGUUGUAAAUGCUAACUCAGAGAUUACACGACAUCGAUGCCAUUCAACCAUUCAGUCACAUUCUCGUAUUGUCAGGAGCGACUUGGUGUCCUCGUGCACAGGCAGAGACACCAGUGUUGGAGGCAGGAUAGCUAUGAAGUGUAAUAUUAGGUUAGCACUCUCUCACACACUACAGUAAUCGUAUCAGUAGUGCCGAUACACUGGCGGCAAACAAGUCGGCCUCACAUUCUCUGUGCUUGAGGAAGUGAUGUUUUGAAAAGAGUGAGAUUAAGAGUAAAAAUAAUGACAGACUUGUCAGAUGAUUUGAAGGGGUUUAGGAUGAGAAUAGGCAGUAUAAUAACAAAUAAAUAUAAUGGGGGAAAUUAACUUCAAUUAAAAUAAAUAAGAUUAAUAAUAAUAAGGAUUUGAUAGGGAUGGGAGAAUGAAAAAAGGAAAUAGGAACAGGAAAUAAAUGGAUAGAAAUGAAAAUAGGUUUAGGAAAAGAAUAAGAAUCGGAUUAGGAUAAAACUUUAUCGAUGCUAUAAAAUUGACUGAAUAAUAAAAUAAAAAAACAAAACAAAAACAAAAUUAAAUCAUGGUCAAUUUGUAUUAAUUCAUUAAUAAACAUCAGUAUAAACACCUAAGAACCAGUAUUCAUAAUUUAUUCUCCUUCAUUUUCUACCAUCUAAGGUACAGACAAACAAUAAAAAUAGAAAAAAAAAA